CUAUGUGCCAUGGCACUCUACAGCGAGCACAGUGAACAAUGUCAAAGACUCUGCCAGGGAAAGGUAGCCUUGUAGUGCCCAUCACCGCAGAAAUGGCGGGAAUGCCUCUCUCAAGAGCAAAUUGCACUUGAGCUUCAUGUUCAUCUUUAGGCGCAAGGGACAUGGUGGUCACGUCUCUGUCAAAGAGGAAACCACCAAAGCUUGCAACACCACAUCCAACAUCCAAGACCACGCGAGAGCGUUUACCCCAAGAAAUAUCAGGGACAGACUGUAAAGCAGAUUUUUCAUCAGAAGAGGAACUCCAUAAGCACAAAUAUUUUACCCCUUAAGCAAUCAAAGUACAAACCAAUUCACAUUAUUUAACACAAUAGGGGAGUAGAAAACAACUGGAUGCAUAUAAGAAACAAUGGGUAAAAAAAGGAUUAUAUUUAGAGCAGUAAUCCAAUUCAGACGCUCUAACAACAAAAAUUACCAACCUCCUGUAUGAAAUCGAUGUAAUGAAGAGCACCAUGCUUGAAUUGGGUUCCUCCUCCAGGGAAAGUUAGAAACUCUCCGGUAACUUUAACCCAAUUUUGAUGCCCCUUAUACUCAGCAAUGGGGCACUGACAGUAUGAACUUGAAUGUAUGAUCUUUUUUUAUUAGGGAUGAAAUGCUUGGUUUAUAAUUAAGUGUAUGAUCGUUUGUUUAUUAUACAUUGAUAGUUUUUAGUGUAUGCUCGUAUUUAUUAUACAUGAGCCAAAUUAUAUUUCUAUUGAUAGGUAUAGUAACAUUCUCUAGCAUUUAAUUAUGGACUCACCAAUUUCUCAAUUGAUUUUCCAGCUGACACGUCACCCUAAUUAACAUUCUAAUUGCUUGACACCUAAGCGGGGCUAUUUUUUAAUUAAUACAAACUUCAGGUUAUAACUUUUCAAAUGUUCCUCUAUUAAUAUAUAGGGGAUAUCUUAAACAUUAUAUAUCUCUAUAAUACUGAUUAUCUGAAACCUAGAUCUAGCUAUUUUUUCUUAUUGUUUACAAACCAACCAACCAACUAAGACGAUCUAUAAGGCUGCUGGUGGCAUUGAGCAACCUUGUCCGAAAUUCCAACAAGCUUUGUGAAGAUAUAGUCUCCAAAGGAGCUUUACAGGUAUCGCGAGACUAACAUUGCUCACUAUGCUUCAGUUAUCGUCGCCAAAGUCGGUGGCGAUUCUUAGGAACAAAUGAGACCUCCCUGCAAAUUUAUUACGUUACAACAAACAAUAUUUCGUUACUUAAUUAGUAAUAUGUGCUAUUACGUUUGAAAUCAUUAUGAAUAUGCGCAAACAAGAUAGAAUCAGCCGUCAAGUGCACAAGAAUAUUAAAGAAGAGUACACCAAACAAGUUAAAGAAACAUUUUAAGAAACACACAAGCAAGACAAUGUGUAAUAAACUUUGCUAUUAAUCCCCCUCGGCAUAGGCUGUUUCGAGAUGAGCUUGCUCAGCUUCUCUGACUUCUUUCUCAGUCUUACGUCCCUUCUUCGACUUGUAAUAAAUGCUCAUGAAUGUGCCUAUAGCCCUGUACUUCCUGCGGCAAUGCUCGUACAAGUCAGCGUCAAACAUUCUCCAGAAGCUUCUCUCGUCGAGCUCAGAUACUGCAUACUGAGGCUGGUAGCCAUGGUUCUCUAUCAGCCACUGCUCCAUCUUUCGCACAGCUUCAACUCCAUCGAACACUUCGCCUCUCAGGACAGGACCAGGAGCGUAGUAGACUCCAACGUCAGUGUACAUCUGUGCAUCUUCUGUGUCUCCCUGUCUCAUCUCAUACUCAAAUCCUGGUUCGGGGCUAAUCAUGCUUUUAACCGGUUGUUUGAAGAGUUUGUGAGGGCACAGCCAAAGUGGAUAUACCUAAACAAUAUAUAUAAAAUAUUAAAAAGAUUACCCAAAAUAAUAAUUAGAAAUAAGUUCUUAACAUUUCAUAAGCAUAUUUUGUGAAUUUUUAUAAAUAAUUUCUUUCAAAAUUUAGAAGUCAUUCGAUCUAUAUAUAAUAACUCUUUAAAAUUUGGAGGUCAAGGGCGAAUGUUUCAUUGGGUCUUACCUCCAUUUCACGGUCGACCCAUUCGAGAGCAUCACCGACUUUGUAGAGAGGAACAAGCAUGUCUUGGAUGACAUGCAUCUCAUGGUAGUAGUUUCUGAUGGCUUCACCUUGAGUGGCCUUAAGAAGAGAGACCUUCGGAGGCAUCAACCAUCCAAACAAGAACCUAAACCAGAACUGGUCACCAAAAGGAAGGAUAAGCUUACCUUCCCAGUACAAGGAACUAGUAUGCCUAUGGUAAUAUUCUCGAGUUGGAAUGUACUCAACAAACUCUCCUUUCUUCAAUGCCGUUUGUGCAUAUUGGUAGAACCAUGGCUUGAACCACCAUCCAACGUUAUUGAUCUUGUUCCCUUUCCUCUUAGCCUCUUCUCUCGAUGCAUAUGUACCUGUCAUCAUUACACCUUCACUUGGACUAUAAACCAUGCCUUCAACAAAAUCUGGUAUCUUAGCUGGAUCCCGAUCUCUAGGUGCAAAAGAGUCCAUAUAACCUUGAGCUAUGGUUUGUAGAUCGCCCUUGACUGGAAUGUAAGUAAGUUUCAUGUAUUCCUUGAUGUGUACAAGCCUGAUCUCGGCAGCAACAAGAAGCCCAAGUGUCCCUUGUGACCAUGGAAUAGCAAAGAAUAGGUCAGAAUACUCAUUGUCCCUAGUGGCUCGGACAAGUUCCCCACCAGCUAGAACAAUCUCGUAAGCCUCAACGGUGUCUGUAAACAAACCAUGCACGUGAGAGCUUCCUUCAAUACCGUAGCCGUUGAUGAGUCCACCAACGGUGAGAUCAUCUAGCUCAGCGACAACUGCAAGGGAUAGGUUCAUUGGAACGGUCACACGGCUAAUCUGUCCCAUGUUCACAAGAGGCUCCACUCUAGCAAUCAUUCUCUCUUUGUCAAUCUUUAUUAUGUUACGGAAAGCAGACAAGUCGACUUCGAAAUGGCGAGCUCGCUUGUAGUCCACGUUUCUCAUUCCUACAGCUAUCCAAGGUUUACGUGCGGUGCAAACAAGCCCGUCCUUUGAUGCAUCCCUUCCCUUGAGUCGUUUGAUGACUUUCUUAACGUUUUGGUCGUGUUCUUUUUGACGUUUCUCGUAGGAUUUUGUUUCAGACCAAACAUCGCCAAGAUAGGUGAGGAAGUAUAAUGUGGCAGAGAUGGGAAGGACGAUGAAGAUGACGACGAUCCAUCGGAACUGGAUGAAGUAAUCAACCCAUAUCUUCUUUCUUUUUGGACGUACUAGUGGUGCCUCAAGAUCCGACAUUUAAAAAAAAAAAACUCUAAGAUAUGCCUAUCUCACUGCAUCAAACGACCAACCAGUUGUAAGUAAACAGAACAUGAGUCGUCAAUAAAUCUCCUCAGGCUUAUAUAAUCAGACAAAUCAAAAGAACAAGAAACACCAUCAGCUAAAGUCCACUUAUACAUGUUGUAGGUUUAGUUUGGAUGCAAGAUCCAACAAGAUUAAUGGUGCUGUGUGCAUGCAUGCUUCAAGUAGCACCUUCCUGUAAAAAACCACACCCAAUAAACAUGUAUGUGAUACAACGUACACUGGCUGAUUUUUUUAUAGCACCGUACCAAAUAUUAUAAGAGAAAGGCAUACCAAGAUGCGUUCGGGUCAUCAGAGUCCGCACAUAUCGGAGGUUGUUGUUCUGAUCUGCUUUUGUAGCAUUCGUUUGAAGUAGGCUUUUUGUAAGUAGCUACACCAACUCCGUUGAUUUUGUCCUUGUUGAUGGAUAUGAGUUCCCAACACAUUUUCUUAGUGAGUUCAGUCAUAGCUGCAAAAUUGGCCAACAUGAGGUAGAUGUGAGAAAACAUGUUCAGAAAAAUUAUAUAUGGAGGAUAGCGUUUUUCUACAACCUUCCCAUAUUUCAACAUCUUCGGUCUUCUUCUGAUAAACUGGAGUAGCAGACCACACAAAGAAGCCACCGGGUCUCAAUACACGAUUAAGCUCCAGAAGGAGUUUUCCACCUGUCCAUGUAUAGUGGACACAAACAUCAGAUAGGUAAUAAAGAUUUCAAUGAAUUUAAUAGAAACAGAUGGUUAAGAUCCAGGAGUUAUCCAUUCAAAGCUACAUGCAUGGCGGUUAUGAGACUUACCUUCUAUGUGCCAUGGCACUCUACAGCGAGCACAGUGAACAAUGUCAAAGACUCUGCCAGGGAAAGGUAGCCUUGUAGUGCCCAUCACCGCAGAAAUGGCGGGAAUGCCUCUCUCAAGAGCAAAUUGCACUUGAGCUUCAUGUUCAUCUUUAGGCGCAAGGGACAUGGUGGUCACGUCUCUGUCAAAGAGGAAACCACCAAAGCUUGCAACACCAC
rnacentral:lncRNA from 1 species